GUACGUACGUUACCCUGGGUUUUCAAAAAAAAAUUAAAAAAAUUGAAAUAAAAGAAAAGAAAAAAAGGAAAAAAAUGAGUAGAAACUAAAAAAAAAGUUUGGAAAUCCUCCGAUAAAAAUUUCUUCCGUUUCAUAUUCUGGAGCUAUUUUACGUUAGUUUGUGAAAUUUAGCGAUAACAAAAAAUUUUCGACCCAAAAAAUUCCCAUUUUAC
rnacentral:lncRNA from 1 species